GAUGAACGCUGGCGGCGUGCCUAAUACAUGCAAGUCGAGCGAACAGACGAGGAGCUUGCUCCUCUGACGUUAGCGGCGGACGGGUGAGUAACACGUGGAUAACCUACCUAUAAGACUGGGAUAACUUCGGGAAACCGGAGCUAAUACCGGAUAAUAUAUUGAACCGCAUGGUUCAAUAGUGAAAGACGGUUUUGCUGUCACUUAUAGAUGGAUCCGCGCCGCAUUAGCUAGUUGGUAAGGUAACGGCUUACCAAGGCGACGAUGCGUAGCCGACCUGAGAGGGUGUUCGGCCACACUGGAACUGAGACACGGUCUAGACUCCUACGGGAGGCAGCAGUAGGGAAUCUUCCGCAAUGGGCGAAAGCCUGACGGAGCAACGCCGCGUGAGUGAUGAAGGUCUUCGGAUCGUAAAACUCUGUUAUUAGGGAAGAACAAAUGUGUAAGUAACUAUGCACGUCUUGACGGUACCUAAUCAGAAAGCCACGGCUAACUACGUG
rnacentral:rRNA from 1 species